rnacentral:tRNA from 1 species
GGAGUCUUAGAGUAAGCUGCUAACUAACUCACAGCAAUACAUUUUGUUAGGCCCCCC